rnacentral:rRNA from 1 species
UACCAGCACCCCGAGUGGUCGGGACGUUUAUUGGGCCUAAAGCAUCCGUAGCCGGUUCUACAAGUCUUCCGUUAAAUCCACCUGCUUAACAGAUGGGCUGCGGAAGAUACUAUAGAGCUAGGAGGCGGGAGAGGCAAGCGGUACUCGAUGGGUAGGGGUAAAAUCCGUUGAUCCAUUGAAGACCACCAGUGGCGAAGGCGGCUUGCCAGAACGCGCUCGACGGUGAGGGAUGAAAGCUGGGGGGAGCAAACCAGGG